CAUUGUCCCAUGAAACAAAUAUGGGAUAAUACCUGCCCAGUGACAAAAUUCAACGGCCGCGGUAUCCUAACCGUGCAAAGGUAGCAUAAUCACUUGCCUAUUAAUUGUAGGCUAGAAUGAAGGGGUUAACGAAAUAAAGACUGUCUCAAUUAAUUAACUAAAAAUUAUUUUCUACCUGAAGAAAGGUAGAUAGACUCGAAGGACAAGAAGACCCUAUAGAGCUUAAUUUUAAUUAUAGAACUCCACUAUAAAAAUAUUGGGUUGGGGCGACCCAGGGCUAAACAAUCACCCACCACAUAAAAGAUAAAUUAAUCAAUCAAGUGACCCUUCAAAGAUCAUUAGACUAAGCUACCUUAGGGAUAACAGGCUAAUCCCACUCAAGAGUCCUUAUCAACAGUGGGGCUUGGCACCUCGAUGUUGGCUUAGGAUAUCUAUAUAGCGCAAAAGCUAUAUAAAGAUGGUUUGUUCAACCAACAAUUUCCUACGU
rnacentral:rRNA from 1 species